UCGGGAAUUUUGGGCAAUGGGCGAAAGCCUGACCCAGCAACGCCGCGUGAAGGAUGAAGUAUUUCGGUAUGUAAACUUCGAAAGAAUAGGAAGAAUAAAUGACGGUACUAUUUAUAAGGUCCGGCUAACUACGUGCCAGCAGCCGCGGUAAUACGUAGGGACCAAGCGUUGUUCGGAUUUACUGGGCGUAAAGGGCGCGUAGGCGGCAAUUCAAGUCAUCUGUGAAAUCUCCGGGCUUAACUCGGAACGGUCAGAUGAUACUGCUUUGCUAGAGUGCAGAAGGGGCAAUCGGAAUUCUUGGUGUAGCGGUGAAAUGCGUAGAUAUCAAGAGGAACACCUGAGGUGAAGACGGGUUGCUGGGCUGACACUGACGCUGAGGCGCGAAAGCCAGGGGAGCAAACGGGGAUUAGAUACCCGUGUAGUCCCUGAGCGGGCUGGCAAGGCGCAU
rnacentral:rRNA from 1 species